rnacentral:rRNA from 1 species
GACGAACGCUGGCGGCGUGCCUAAUACAUGCAAGUCGAACGCAGUGGGGACGGGUGAGUAACACGUGGGUAACCUCCCAUCAGAGGGGAUAACACUUGGAAACAGGUGCUAAACCGAUACUGAUGGAUGGACCCGCGGUGCAUUAGCUAGUUGGUGGGGUAACGGCGCACCAAGGCCACGAUGCAUAUGCGUCCUGCGGGGGUGAUCGGCCACACUGGACCGUGGGCACGGCCCAGACGCCUACGGGAGGCAGCGUUAGGGAAUCUGCGGCAAUGGACGAAAGUCUGACCGAGCAACGCCGCGUGAGUGAAGAAGGUUUUCGGAUCGUAAACCUCUGUUGUUAGAGAAGCGGUAUCUAACCAGAAAGCCACGGCUAACUACGUGCCAGCAGCCGCGGUAAUAC